AAAAAGUAAGGUUUGGAAGUCCAAUAUUAAGCCUUGGAGGAAUGGGAACCAAGGAGUCUGGCUGAAAGCUUUUUGGCAGCUUUCAGAGGUGUGGUUUAUCCUGUAGAUGGAAAUCCUACCAUCCUUCAUCUCCAUUCCUAGUAUGACUAACAUUAAACAGGAAAGCAUUGCAAUUUUUUUUUUCUCCAAACGAGGCAAAUAUGAAGCUACUCCUGAGCAAUUUUGAUUUGUUUUCUUGCCCUUGUGCCCAUCAUCUUUCUUAAUCCUUUUUCUUUCGACUAAACUGUUUUGAGCCUGAUCAAACAGGACUGUGCUCACCAAUCUGUGGAUAUGAGAAAUAAGAAACGUGAAAAUAAGCUUCUUCAGGAAGGAAGAAUUAGAUCUCUGUCCCUUUGUUGGGAUCCUGUGCUAUCUGAAGGUGAGGGUUUGAAGGUCAGUAAGGUGUUUUAAAUGUAAAGUGGUAUUAGUGGAAUUAGGUAGAAUCGUACAAUGGUUUGGAUUGAAAGGGACCUUAAAGCCCAUCCAAUUCCAGUCCCAUGUUGUGGGCUGGCAGCCAUCCACCACCUCAUCUUCCCGGGGACCCAUCCAGUCUGGCCUUGGGCACUUCCAGGGUUGGGGCACUCUCAGCUCCUCUGGGCAGCCUGUGCCGGGCCUUACCACCCUCUGAGUGAAAAAUUUCCUCCUAGUAUCUAACCGAAAUCUCCCUUCUUUUAAUUUAAAGCCAUUUCCCCUUGGCCUAUUGCUAUCACACCAUGUAAAAAGUGAGCCUCCCUCCUGUUUAUAAGAUCCCUUUAAGUACUGGAAGGCAGCAGUGAAGUAUCCCCGGAGCCUUUUCAAAUCUUGGGCUCUACAGUAAGUUAAGAGUUGGUGUUCUAUAAUGGAAUUAUACUUUUCUACUUCUAGAGAGAAGCAAAAAACAGCAAAAGAAAAUUACUUAUUCUUCCAUAGCAUUUUGGGUAACAGCAUUAGCUAGGACUGGUAACUGUUCUAAAGAUGCUCACAAAUUAAACCUGGCAAGUACUUAAUUUUAAAUUUCCCUAAAAUUGCUUGUUUUAUAUUCCACAGAAUUACAUGAACUCUAUUUGAUUGCUUAAAAUAUUAUUUUAAGGUUUUAUAUAUUAUACACUACUUAUCAUGCCAAAGUUGUUCCUACCAAUGGAGUAGCCUAUGGCUGAUUUCUAUAGCUGUACAAGUUCCUUGGCUUCAAACAUUUGUGUGCUGCUUUUUUGUUUUGUUUUAUUUUUCUAGAAGCAAGUAUGUUAAAGUGAAUAAGCCUACUUCCGUGAAGCUCAUUCUCUCUUUUAUUAAGUGUUUCAUUUUGUUCAUGCAGUUUUGUCCCACUCAAUGGCCUUUCUCCAUCUGUAAUACUGAUCAGAAGCCUAGCAAGCUAAGAAAAUCCAAACAAAAGCUAAAAGUCUGUUUUAGCUUCUGUUACCACUGCAUCAACUGCUAUGUUUUGAUCAUACAUGUUAGAAAUAGACAGCCUACAUGCUUCUGGCAGCUUUGUACAUCAGGUGAAUCCAGUCAGGCUGAAGUUGCCUCUGGAUCAGUCACACACUCAAAUUGUUCUUGUAAGAAUAAGGAACAUGUAGUAGGGGUAUCCAUAAAGUGGUCCACACCUUCACAAUUUUUAAGUAUGAAAGAUAACAGAUUACACUUCAAAGUAAUAGAAAUUAAAGAAGGAUUCUGUUUUUCAAUGAUUUUUUUGUUUGUUUUUUUUAAUUACUUAUCCACUUUUCAAAAUUUUCCCUUCAGCCAUGAAGCCUCCACAUCUUUAAGAACCUGAGAGAAAGCAUCUUUAAGCUAGAAAGACAUUAACCUUGGAACUGAGGUGACAAAAAGGUUUUCCAUGCUCCUUUCUGUCCUUUUUCUGUCAGAAACUGAUUACUGCUUGUGCACAUGCAUACAUGGACAGGAAGUUUUUCAUGUGUUUGCAUGCAUACUUUUGUAUGCUCAGGAUUUCAAAUAAUUUUAUGAAGCAGUUGCCAACAAAAGGCAAUGCAGCUUUAUGCUUCACAGUGCAAUCUAGAGCAACCUGAAUCUGUCUUAUAAAGAAGUAGAUCAUAAUGCUGAAAGAUUCAUCUUAUACAAAAAAAAAAAAAAAAAUUCAUAGGAAACUUAACUGUUCAACUGAUGUCACUAAUCUUUUAUUAGGUAGAAGCACUGGAACUUCUCUUGUGAUGUUUUUAAAAUCGGCCAGAGCCAGUUGUGUUUGGUGUUUCGUACAGAACAAUUAUUAGCAUCUCAGCCUACUUUUUACAUUGGCCAAAAGAGUUCUUUAAUUCAGAUCUAGGGGGAUUUAAUUUUUUUCUAUUGUUUAGCUGCAACUAAGAAUGAUCACACUUCUUUCUGUUUCAUUAAAUGCCAUUUUAUAAUUUUUGUGAGAAGAAAUCUUUAAAUGCUGUAGAAAUUACAUUUCUAACUUUUGUAGCAUAUGCUCCUCUUUUUAAGGUUAUAAAUUCUAUUUCUGAGGCAGUACCUUACAUUUCACCCUUAAGAUUUUCUGUCUCUGAUGUCUAUGGAAGCACUGUGAAAAUUUUCUGAUUGGAAAUAUACUCCAUUAAUUUUUGUUUAUUCUUUAAAUGUUAGCAAUAUUGUUCUGUGAAUAGACUUUUGAAAUUACUGUAGAUUCUAUUUUAAAUAAUAAACCUUGCCUGUUUUUCUCAUUUUUUCCCCAGAAGUACCAAGUGAAACGUUGCCGUAAGUAUGAACACUGCGCAUCUGCUCACACUGGGUUGCAUUCCCACAAAGCCUGUGUGUGGAUGUUAGUCAAGCAUGUGCUUAAAUACUGCAGUCAGUGCUUAUAGGUGGUCCUGAUUUUGUAUGUGUUAUGUGUCAGGAUUCUGCUAGUGAUAGUAGCAGCAAUUUAGUCUUUUGUCAGUGGGAUUAUGAUUGCUUCCCUCUCUUCUUCCAGGUAGAAGGAGUGAUAUGAGUUGUUGCUACUGCUGCUGCUUAACAAUUUUGAAACCACCAAAGCGAGAAUAUUCUCUUUUUUGCUGGUGCUGGAGUGCAGUCAGUUUCCUAAAACUUACGGAGAAAGAUUUUGGUUUAGAACCAGGGGCUAAGCUCAAGAGUUGAAUAACCCAAGACAGGGAAUUUAAUAAACUUAAGCAGGAUUAUUAAACAGGCAUAUGAAGGGCUUUGUAGGACACUGGAAUAAUCAUAGAGGAAAACUAGUAGGGCCUUGGCACAUGAGACUGCGCAGCAGGAGAAUGGCUGUAAAAUGCCACUUUAUACUUCUUGAAGCCAUUGCAGUUUUCUUGCAGACAAGCAUAACUUCAAUGCACUGACUUCAACGCUUCUGCAGUUCACUCUCUUAGGAUUUUAAGCCCUUCUCUUUACAACCCCUUUUAACUUCAGUGUACUUUGUCUACCCUUUAAAAUCCUUCACCAAAUUUGUAGCAAUGCUUUCUGUGAACCAACUUAGGAGGGCAGGAAUUUAGCAGAGGAAAAGCUAAGGUUUGUAAGUCUAAUCACUACUGUUGUCAGUGAGCAGCUGCUGGGGCAUAGCAGCUGAGAGAAAAAGGCAGGGCCUUUUGUCCUGAGAUUGGUUUGCUCAGCAGGAUCUCCCUUGCAUCAUUAUGGAUUUUCUUAGUUUUGUGAAUUCCUUCAUUCCAGAGCUCCUACCUGAAAAUUUCUAAGCAAAGAUUCAAGGAGGGAACAUUCAAGAAGUACAUAGUUUUGCAGGAGGCUUCAAAAAUGAAUUAAAAUUCAUGUUGUGUGCAUUUGUCAACUAGUAACUGAGUAAUUUCUUGGAGUAGCAGGUACAUCAACAGGAUGGUAACUAUAAAAUCUGUAUCUACAUGUCUACGUGAGGUCCUGUGAUCUUCAUGAGGGCUCUGCCCCAGGAACAAAAUAGCAAGUUCUUUUUCCCAGCAGUUACAGCACCUACGGGACUGCAGUUCUCAUCUGCUGCUCGGUGUUCUGGUAUUUCUGAAGAGAGGUGUGUGACUGUCAGCAGUACGUAUCUGGAUCAUGACUCACCUUGUUACACUACAGCUGGGCUUUGAAAUUGUGGAACAGAAGUGAGAAAACAAGAAAGAUGUCAAACCAACAAGCAAAAACAACAUUAGACAUGCAUCACGCACAGAACUCUUAUUUGGAAAACUCGUAAUCUCAAAAGCUGUCAACCUUCCCUUAGUGGGAAGAAAACUGCUUUUCUAUCCAUCUCCAUUCAGACAUGGUGAGGGGAAAAAAGCUUGCCAUCCCACAGAAUGGGCCCAGGAGUGGAUCUCUGGCCAAUUAAUUGUUUCAUAAUCUCUCAGGAAAUUCUCUAGGUAUCAAAGUAUGCAUGGGAUUGUCCCAUCCAAAAUAUAGUGCCCUAACUGAACAGCUUCAUGUUCUUCCUUGCGCAUACCAUGGAGCUGUAAGUUUGUGUGAGGAGGAAAAAAAAAGCACCAUUGUGGUUGACUCUGGGUUUCUCCUGCAGACCGUUUCUAUGACUGUCAAGGAAGUUGGCUGUGCAGAGCCAGCGUUCUCCAGCAACACUUCCACCCCAGCCAACUGCACCUCGCCGUUGGAAUCCCCAAGUGCGCAGUGCUCUGGGAACGUGAGAAGCAGAGCGAAGUUCUGCUUAACAGUGAAGAUCUAUCUCUCCCUCUGACAGAUUUCUUGACAGUAUACUACAUGUUCUAAUCCUUUCAUCUGCUCCACACCUUGAAGUGGAGGUUAUGAUUUGGCUCUGGAUACUUGCAUUGACAAGCUGUGUUUGGGCUCUGACUUGCUGUGCAGUCAGUAUGUGUAAUAUAGAGAAAGAUGUAGCUCUCAAAAGCUGAAAUUGCAUCCAUAAUUUUAGUAGGAAAUGUUAAACUUCCAAAGGGUGUUUGUUGAAGAAAAAUAAAUGUAACUUUACAUUUUUUUUUUUUAAUAGGUGAACGUUGAGCUGUGGAAAAAUACUACAUAUGGUACAGGUGAUCGUGUGCCUUGGUGCUGUAGAGAAUUUGGAGAGUUGAUCCAGUGUUGUCUCUGGCUCUGAGCUGCAAAAUGUUCCAAAAGAUGCAGUGAUUGCUCAAGAAAUAGUGGAAAUAAAAUUCACAAUAAUAUUGAAAGCAAUAACCAAGUCACUUGGAGCUAUUUUAAUAGCUCAUAAAAAAUCUAUUUUGCUGCAGCCUACUUACUUGGUAAUUGUGUAAGUACCAAAACUAUUGUUUAUUAUUUGAGAUCCUGGACAGUUGAACUGUUACUUGUGCUACUGUGGAAAGAGAUUGCUAACAGGGGAAGAUUCUCAUAAUAGUUGUGGUGUCAUUUUAGAAUGUGGUUGUCUCCUGUGGGAUCAAGGGAAUUGCCACAUCUUAUUGCAGAACACUUUAUCAAAAAUAACGUUUAAAAAUGUUUAAGAAAAACUAUCUCCUUGUGUUGAUAAGAAGAAAAAAAAAGUAUUUUAUUCCAGGUAGAAGUAUUCAAAAUGCAUUAUAAAAUAGCUGCUUUUAUGUUACCAUAAUUCUUUCACACGCUACCUACUUUUUAAACUGCACAACUGACUUGCACACCAGUGAAGAUGUUUUACUCUGUUCUUGUUUAGCACAGCGCAGUGAUGUGCACUGAGUGUAGAUGUGGAACCCUUGCCAUCCAUGGGCACAACCUGAAUUUAACUAGUAAGACCAGAACAGGUAGAAUUCCUUGUAGCUCUUUGCAUCUGUCUACUGAACAGAUGCGCAGAGAAGCAGGCAGGUUCAAACAAACUGGUCUUCAUUAGAGACAGGAGGAAUAUGAGCUGUUAGAAAACCAUGGGACCAUCUUUCCUUAAAAAGGAGGAUUGCUGAGAAGUGAAAUGUAAGCUGCCUCUUGCUCACAGUGUAAGGCUCUGACCCAGCUGGUUCAAAUCCACAUGGUAUUCUUUAAUUGAUUUAAUUGCUUUUGGAUCAUGUGUUAGAAGAUUCUACACAUAUGUGGAGAGUAAAUAUGGUUUAAAUACUAGUCCUUAUAUUAAUAUAUAACUUUACGUAUGACUUGCAAUAGUUACUUCUAAAUUCCUAUAGAAUCUUGAAGCAAAAGUUUCUAAGAUAUUAUCUAUAUAGUAAGAACUGAAGGCUUUUUGGCUUUUGUAUUAACAAAAUAUCAUGUAAACUAUCUUACUUUUAUCUUUCAUUUGUGAAAAGCAUGCCCAAACCACAUAUGUGUGCAUGCAACGUACGCAACAAAUGGAAGAAAACCAGCUACCAAAUCUGGAAUGCAAAGAGCAAUUGCCCUGGCUGAAGUGCAGACUUUUCACAGAUGUUUGAUUGUAUACAUGGGACAGACUUCAUUUGAGAUGAAUAGAGAGUACAUAAAAUGCACACUUCCCCUCCCCCAUCCCUCUUGUUUAUCUGAUUUUGCAGAAGGAUUUUAAUUAACCCCACAGAACUGCAAUAAACUGCACGAACUGUAAACUUAAUAUCCAGAAACAUUACAAAUAGAAAAAUUGCUACAGAGCUCUAAGGUUAUGUUAUUCUUCUUCUGUGUCUAUAAACACAUCUGUUCAAAGCUACAUGCAAACUUCUUUACUUUUCUUCUCUGCACAGCUGAAGUGCAUAAGGAGAUAUUUUUCCUGGAAAAAAAAAAAAGCAGCAAUGCCUACUUUAAGGAAUUUGAGACUUAGAUAUUUAGAUAGCAAAGAGUACUGCCCUCGCUCUCCAAACAUCUCUAAAAAUAGUACUUGUUUAACUACUUACGUUUACUUCUUUACAAGUUGAGAUAGACUAUCUGAUCUGAUAUUCUGUGUAUAUACUCGUUUAUACAUACUUGUGUACUUGUCCUUCUGCUAAGCAGAUGUUGGUGUUGCAAAGAUUAGGUUUCUAUGGGAAGGCACAUCAGUGAAGCAGAGUUUGGGGGUUUCAUUCUAUAUUAUGUAAUACCUACUAGGCUAGCAGCGUGCCUGCAAUGAGGUGACAUAGCCCUCCUGAUCUGCUUCUCCAGUUUGCUUGCCUGUUCACAUCCAUGGUUUAAUAUGCUUUGUGCUCACAGACCACCUACUUGAUGUGAACUGAAUUCUGUUUACCUUAUGUACAAAGAAAGGCAGGAGAUGAGUUCUAGCUGACUAAUUUAUCCCCAUGUUAUUCUUGAAACAAGAGGGUUUCCUUCUCCUCCCCAUCCUCUUAGUUUCUCUUCUUAUUUUACUGUAGCAGAUAAAUUGGGUUCAAGUUUUAGAAACAACAGCUAUUAUGAGGUCAGACUGUCCAUUUCUUAGAGGGCAGGGAGAGAAGAGGUAUUUGUCUAGCUGCCACACAAGUGCAUGUUGGAGAGUUCACUGGCAGGGCUCAGCCCUGAGCCACACGGAGUCCAACUCUGGACUGGACUCUGCCUUUAGGGUAAGUUUUGUGUCCUCAUCUUGUCCAUGUCCUGUAUGUGGGCAGAGGGCAGGUUGGAGUUACACAAGGCUCUACACAACAAGAUGAAAAAGUAGUAGGUGUGGAGGGACUGUGCCACCCGACACUGCCAGGGCACCUCAGCUAUUCCAUGUCAUCCCAGGGAAAAGAUUCUUCCUGCUAUGUAAUAUGGUGUUUGUGUGAGGUAUUCGUAAGAAGACAGUACAGUGUUCUUUCUGACAGCCUACUUUGCAGCUCUGUGUAAAGCUGAAUAAAGAAAAAAGGCAGGAUUUUAAUAACUCAGUACAGCCUAACCUUUCUUAAGAGCCCCAGCUGAAAUAAAAAGGAAAUCUGUUUUGUACAAAAA